rnacentral:pre_miRNA from 9 species
AAAAUCCCAGAUCCCACUCGGCACCAUUUCUACCCUGUAGAUCCGAAUUUGUAUGAUAUUUGAAUACAAAUUCGGUCUAUAGGAUUUCAUGUGGUGUAGGUAAUUCAGCAUUUACUAC